UUGAAAGAUAAUUCCACGCCGUCCUCUCUGUCUCUGUCUCUGUCUCUCUCUCUAGGCUUUCAUCUCCCUCCUCUCCUGCAUCCACAUGGGCGGAUUGUAAAUGGUUUCCCCUCGAGAUCUUCGCUCCAAAUCUUGCAACUCUACUUCCUAAUAUUUGUACGAGAGUUUAAGGGAGCAAAUUGAUUCUUUCGCCUUCCAAAAACCUGAUUCUUUUCUCGGCUCCCUUCCUCUCAUGGCGUACCGCGUCCUUCUCCGAAUUCUUCCGCAAAUUUUUGUUCUGAUCACCAGCGAUAACAAGAUCCGUCGUCUCGGUGGGAUAAAAGCCGUUUCUUGGUAGUCUUUUUGUGUGGCUCGAUUCCUUUUACGAGGGUUUUUGAGCUUUAAGAUCCUUCCGCCUACUAAAGAUCCAAGUUUUAUUGUCUGCCUUACUCCCUCUCAUGGCUUCCGCGAGUUUUGCUCGUAAAUUUUAGAACCGUGAGAUAAAAAUUGGAUUUUGCGAGUGGUUCGUGUGGCUUGGCGAUGGAAGAGAAGCUCUCUGUUCGGGCAGAGGGCUACCAGAAGGACUUCUUGAGGCGAUUCGGAGCUGGCGGCGGCGGACAGGGGGAAGGGACGGAGGGAGGAGAGUCGGAGGAUAUCGAGCUCAGCCUCGGUCUCUCCUUGGGCGGACGCUUCGGGGUGGAACCCAAGGAGAAGCGGCUCGUCCGGUCCUCAUCGAUCUCGACGUUGCCCGUGGAGCGCGACCUCGCCAUGGUUCCUCCGCUCGCGAGGACGUGCUCCCUGCAGGCGGAGGCCCAGGAGGAGCUCCGGAAGAGGAAGGAGUUGCAGAGCUUGAAGCGGUUGGAGGCGAAGCGGAGGAGAUCCGAGAAGUUGAGCUCCAAAUCCAGGAUCGCAGACCGGAAAGGCGACAUCUUUGACGAGGAAACCGCAGGGUCGAGGAACCGGGUCGCCCCUCACGGGCUUCCGUUGUGGAUAGCCGGAGCCGGCAGAGCAGCCGCUCAACCAACGGAGGCACCGAGACGCUUCGGGCUGGUAUCGCAAGGCUCGAUCGGAUCACAAGGAAGUAGCUGCUCAAGCGUUUCUGACGUCGAGAGCCAACCAAAACAAGGAUCAAGAAACAGUCCCCGGGUCGGGAGUCCCAUGACUGCGAUGCUGUCACCCGAGCAUGGCAGUCACAAGGCAGUAUCUGAUCAUACGACAGCCGCGGCAGUAGGAAAACACGUUGCCGGUGUCACCGGGGAAGAGGGCCAAUCAAGGAAGGCUACAGAAGGAGCAUUGGACGACAGGGUGCGAGAAAAGGCUGGGAGGAACAUGGUCGAAAGAAUGCCUUGUGUGUCCACCAGGGGAGAUGGACCUAAUGGCAGAAGGAUCGAAGGGUUUCUCUACAAAUACAGGAAAGGGGAGGAAGUAAAGAUCGUGUGCGUGUGCCAUGGCAGCUUCUUCACUCCUGCUGAGUUUGUUAAGCAUGCAGGAGGGGGUGAAGUGGCUCACCCACUUCGGCACAUCGUCGUCGACACCCUGCCGUCGGCAUUCUUGUGAUGGCAUGCAUUUCUAUAGGAAUUAGCAGGCAACAGUUGUUGCAUGUUAGAAUCGUCUGGCUUUUGCGUUAUUGGACAUUGAAAGCGUACCGGAUAAACUGCAGAGGGAAGGAUUUUUUGGUUCACAGAUCACACACGCCGGUUCGCCAACCCAACUCAUUCCCGGUUCACUUGGUACACGCAGGUGCCGUAGUCGAUCUGCCGUGUCACCAGCGUUCCAUAUGGCAGUCAGCUAACAAAGAAAGUAUUUGGCGGUGAAAGAGAUUAAUCACUUGAUA